rnacentral:lncRNA from 1 species
GGGACAGGCCUUCUCACAGGCAGGACACAUCCUGGGCGGGGACACGCUUGCUCUUUGCACCCAUGUUCUUCACCUCAAGGACGUCCACAGAGGCAGUGACGCCAGGCCCAGCACACGAUGCGGGGAUACGCCACCAGCUGAUUUAAUUGUGCCUUUUUAAGUAAAUGCACAAAUGCACAGAUACUGCCAAUUUCAAUUCAAUCGCAUACGAAUCAUGCUUUCUAACACAGUUCACAGUUUGUCUCUCAAGCCUCCCAACAGACCAUCAAGGGAUUAAAGCUCACAAAACCCAGGAAAACAAGAGAGCUUCUACAAAGCACUGCGUAAACACCUGAAUAGUGGCUAUGAUUUCCAGGGCUCCAUCGGUUUCCAGGAGUGCACACCUGAACAAUGCAAAGUCAGAUCAGAACACGUUUAACAAGUAAUCCGGCAAACAUGAAAACCUGCACUGUAUAAGGGAAAAGUAGAAACACUUUUUUUUGUGCCAUAAGCUUCAGCAGUAUCUCAACUCAUCAGAUUUCAGUCCUUGUGUGAAAACAGGAUAAAUCUGUCGCUCCCUGUUAUAUUUUCUUUAAAAUUGCAAUGUGCAGAGCUCUCUUUCUUGGUUCUUAAAUUAUUAAGCAAUGCAAAUCCCUUCCACACAGGCUUGCAUACUCUGUACAAAUAUUUUUGUAUUGUAUGCCUGGACACGCAACAUCAACAUUUUGCUUUCACAAGUGGAGACGAAGCUGCUCAAAGGGUAAAAUGGCCUCGUCCAUCCACCCAGCAAAGUAGGAAAAUAAUGUGUGUGUACCUGGUUUCGUUUCCAUGCAUUAUUGUACAAUUAAUUUUUCUUUAUGUUUGUUUAAGCAAAACAAAACAAAACCAAACAAACAAAAAAACUCUCAAAUUUUGCUAGCUUUAAACCCCAAACACUGUUCUGACUACUGGUGAGUUAUUGUCACAAUAAAAAUUCCUUUCCCCGAAGUCUGCAGUCUGCCCUGCAGCCUAUGCUGCUGUGUGUUAGGUGGGAGGGGCUAGAGAGAGAGCUGAUAUGGGCUCCCCUGGAAGAGGGGCUGGGACACUCCCAGGUGACAAGCUCCCCAGGGGCGUCCAGUCUUAGUACUCCAUGGUUAGUACUCCCACUAACUUAGUACUCCAUGGUUAAAACUCCCACUAACUGCCAGCCACAUCUCAGCUUCAUGGCUGUGAGCUCCUCGUCUCUUGCCG